CUCUUUUAAAAGAAACAUUAAAGAUUUCUGUUUUAAAUUCAAGUUUGGGGACAGUAAGUGGGAAUUUGGAGUUCUUCCAUCUGACUCAUCUGGAUUCAUAUAAUACUUUUUUAUCUUUUCCUCUAAAUGAAAAACAGAAAUAUCUGUUAUGUCUUUUGGUGUGAGUUAGCACUAUUAAUAUGUUAAUGUCUGCAUAAUACUCUUCACUUCAUAGCUAAUAGUUUUUAUUACCAAGUUUUCUUUCUUUUUCUUUGGAAGGUUGAACUAAAUGAAAUAGAAUCCCGGUGUGAAGAAUACCCAUUGACUCGGGCCUUUUGCCAGCUUAUUAGUACCCUGGUGGAGAGCUCAUUUCCUUCUAAUUUGGGUGCUGGACUGCGGCCCCCUGGCUUUGACCCUUAUUUGCAGUUCCUUAGAGACUCUGUGUUUCUACGAUUCCGUACGAGAGCUUACCGGAGAGCAGCUGAAAAGAUGGAGGCUUAGCAAGGUUAAGGAACUUGCCUAAGGUCCAGGACCAGGAUUUGAACCUAGGACUCUGAUUCCAGAUCCAAGCUCAUAGCCACUAAGCUAUUGGGAAGUUGCUGAGGUGGUUUUGGAGGUGUUUUAUAAAUUGCUCAGAGAUUACGAGCCUCAGCUUGAAGAUUUUAUAGACCAGUUUGUGGAACUACAAGGAGAAGAAAUCAUAGCCUAUAAGCCACCUGGAUUUAGUCUGAUGUAUCAUCUGCUGAAUGAGUCACCAAUGUUGGAGCUUGCUCUCAGUUUACUGGAAGAAGGAGUUAAGCAGCUUGACACCUAUGCCCCCUUUCCUGGGAAAAAACACCUGGAGAAAGCAGUACAGCAUUGCCUUGCACUUCUCAAUCUUACUCUGCAGAAGGAAAAUCUUUUUAUGGACCUUCUAAGAGAGAGUCAACUGGCUCUAAUAGUCUGUCCUUUAGAACAGCUUUUGCAGGGAAUUAAUCCCAGAACUAAGAAGGCAGAUAAUGUGGUAAACAUUGCCAGAUACCUAUAUCAUGGCAAUACUAAUCCAGAAUUGGCUUUUGAAAGCGCCAAGAUCCUCUGUUGUAUCUCUUGCAACUCUAAUAUUCAGAUAAAGUUGGUUGGAGAUUUCACACAUGACCAGAGUAUAAGUCAGAAACUAAUGGCUGGAUUUGUGGAGUGUUUGGAUUGUGAAGAUGCAGAAGAAUUUGAUCAGAACUUGAAAAGAAAUUAGUUGCAAUUCGUCAUGAAACAAGAAUCCACAUCUUGAAUCUUCUCAUUACCUCUCUGGAAUGCAAUCCACCCAAUCUUGCUCUCUACCUGUUGGGCUUUGAAUUGAAAAAACCUGUCAGUACUACAAACCUACAAGAUCCAGGAGUGUUAGGUUGCCCUCGGACAUGCCUUCACGCCAUUCUAAACAUCUUGGAGAAAGGAACGGAAGGGAGAACAGGCCCAGUGGCAGUGCGAGAAUCUCCUCAACUGGCUGAGCUAUGUUACCAGGUCAUAUAUCAGUUAUGUGCAUGCUCUGAUACAUCUGGUCCUACUAUGAGGUACUUGAGAACCAGCCAGGAUUUCUUAUUUUCCCAGUUGCAGUAUCUACCAUUUUCUAACAAAGAAUAUGAAAUAUCUAUGCUGAACCAGAUGUCAUGGCUUAUGAAAACUGCCUCAAUAGAGCUAAGGGUAACCUCUCUGAAUCGUCAGCGGUCGCAUACCCAGAGGCUCCUACACCUCUUACUGGAUGACAUGCCAGUGAAACCAUACUCAGAUGGUGAAGGAGGAAUAGAAGAUGAAAACAGGUCUGUUUCUGGGUUCCUUCACUUUGACACUGCUACAAAAGUACGUCGAAAAAUUCUAAAUAUUCUUGACUCGAUUGACUUCAGUCAGGAGAUCCCUGAGCCUUUGCAGUUGGAUUUUUUUGAUCGGGCCCAGAUUGAACAAGUUAUUGCUAACUGUGAACACAAGAAUUUACGGGGACAGACAGUCUGCAAUGUCAAGCUUCUUCAUAGGGUUCUUGUAGCUGAAGUAAAUGCCCUUCAGGGUAUGGCAGCCAUAGGACAGAGACCUCUACUAAUGGAGGAAAUCAGCACUGUACUUCAGUAUGUGGUAGGAAGAAAUAAAUUGCUGCAGUGUCUUCAUGCAAAACGUCAUGCUCUGGAGUCGUGGAGGCAACUGGUAGAAAUUAUACUGACAGCUUGUCCCCAGGACCUCAUUCAGGCAGAGGAUCGACAACUGAUUAUUCGUGAUAUUUUACAAGAUGUGCAUGAUAAGAUACUGGAUGAUGAAGCUGCGCAAGAGUUAAUGCCUGUGGUCGCCGGGGCAGUGUUCACACUGACUGCUCACCUAAGCCAGGCCGUCCUCACUGAACAGAAGCAAACAUCAGUCUUGGGACCAGCAGAGGCCCAUUACGCUUUUAUGCUUGAUAGUUGCUUCACCUCACCUCCUCCUGAAGAGAACCCAUUAGUGGGUUUUGCUUCUAUUGGAGAUUCUUCACUUUACAUCAUAUUGAAGAAACUGUUAAACUUCAUUUUGAAGACAGGUGGUGGAUUCCAACGAGUGAGGACUCACUUGUAUGGCUCUCUGCUUUAUUACUUACAGAUUGCCCAGAGACCUGAUGAACCAGACACCUUAGAAGCAGCCAAGAAAACCAUGUGGGAAAGGCUGACAGCCCCUGAAGAUGUAUUUAGCAAAUUACAGCGAGAAAACAUAGCCAUUAUUGAAAGUUAUGGCGCCGCCCUCAUGGAAGUGGUCUGUCGAGAUGCUUGUGAUGGUCAUGAGAUUGGAAGGAUGCUGGCCCUGGCUCUACUUGAUAGAAUUGUCUCCGUGGAUAAACAGCAGCAGUGGCUUUUGUAUCUUUCUAACAGUGGCUACUUGAAGGUCCUCGUAGACAGCUUGGUAGAAGAUGACCGUACUUUGCAGAGCUUACUCACCCCACAGCCUCCCCUUUUAAAAGCACUUUAUACUUAUGAAUCUAAAAUGGCAUUUCUCACAAGAGUGGCAAAGAUACAGCAGGGUGCAUUAGAGCUGCUAAGAUCAGGGGUGAUUGUGAGACUAGCUCAAUGCCAAGUCUAUGACAUGCGCCCAGAAACGGACCCGCAGAGCAUGUUUGGCAUGAGAGACCCUCCAAUGUUCAUCCCUACCCCAGUGGAUCGCUACCGCCAGAUUCUCCUCCCAGCUCUCCAGCUGUGCCAGGUCAUCCUCACAUCUAGUAUGGCCCAGCACUUGCAGGCAGCAGGGCAGGUAUUGCAGUUUCUUAUUUCACAUUCUGAUACCAUACAAGCAAUUCUGCGCUGUCAGGAUGUUAGUGCUGGGUCUUUGCAGGAAUUGGCUCUGCUGACAGGAAUUAUAAGUAAAGCAGCACUUCCUGGGAUAUUAAGUGAACUUGACGUUGAUGUAAAUGAAGGGUCUCUAAUGGAGCUACAGGGACAUAUUGGAAGAUUCCAGCGCCAGUGCUUAGGACUACUAAGUCGCUUUGGUGGCUCUGACAGACUGCGUCAGUUUAAAUUUCAAGACGAUAAUGUGGAGGGAGAUAAAGUAAGCAAGAAAGAUGAGAUUGAACUGGCUAUGCAGCAGAUUUGUGCCAAUGUAAUGGAAUAUUGCCAGUCACUCAUGUUACAGAGUUCCUCUACCUUCCAGCAUGCUGUGUGUCUCUUCACUCCUAGCCUUUCAGAAACAGUUAAUAGAGAUGGACCGCGGCAAGAUACCCAAGCUCCAGUGGUUCCAUACUGGCGCCUGCCUGGUUUAGGCAUUAUCAUCUACCUGCUGAAACAGAGUGCUAAUGAUUUCUUCAGCUAUUAUGACAGUCAUCGACAGAGUGUCAGCAAGCUACAAAAUGUAGAGCAGCUUCCCCCAGAUGAGAUAAAAGAGUUGUGUCAGUCUGUGAUGCCUGCUGGUGUUGAUAAAAUCUCCACUGCCCAGAAAUAUGUUCUAGCAAGACGGCGCUUGGUGAAGGUGAUCAACAAUCGAGCUAAACUGCUUUCCCUUUGUUCUUUUAUCAUAGAGACCUGCCUAUUUAUUCUUUGGCGCCAUCUGGAGUACUACUUGUUACAUUGCAUGGCCACGGAUUCUCAAGAUUCCUUAUUUGCCUCGAGAACCUUGUUUAAAAGCAGAAGACUGCAAGAUUCCUUCGCCUCAGAAACCAAUCUAGAUUUUAGAAGUGGGCUGGCUAUAGUGAGCCAACAUGAUUUAGACCAGCUUCAGGCUGAUGCAAUCAACGCUUUUGGAGAAUCACUACAAAAGAAACUUCUGGACAUUGAAGGAUUAUAUUCAAAAGUUCGAUCUCGAUAUAGUUUCAUACAGGCUCUUGUCAGACGUAUCCGUGGCCUCUUGAGGAUAUCAAGGAACUGAGAGCCCGUGCUUAUGCUCUUCUAUGAGAGAGAUGAAUUGGGGAGAACUGUCUCCAUUUUAUGGAUUAGUUUCUUUCUAAAUUAUGACCAAAAAUAUUUUGCUAUUUCUUUCUUUGUAUAUGGACAUCUUUUCUGUAAACUUCUUCCCCUAGUUCCAUCCUCACUAGUAAAAAAUAAAUACUUUUUAAAAAAACAAAACAAA
rnacentral:sRNA from 1 species